rnacentral:rRNA from 1 species
AUGGCAUCUUCCAAGAGUAGUCUUGCAUUGUUCGCCCUGGCCAUGGCCAUAGCCGUGGUAGCCAAUGUCUCUGCGCAGAACACUCCGCAGGACUACGUCAACCUGCACAACCGCGCCCGUGCAGCAGACGGCGUCGGCCCUGUGGUGUGGAACAACAACGUGGCCAAGUUCGCGCAGGACUACACGGCGGAGCGCCGCGCUGACUGCCGGCUGGUGCACUCCGGUGGGCGGUUCGGCGGGAACAUCUAG